CAGCCGUGUGGUAAGCACAAAGCGGACUACUAUUUCGCCUUUUACUAAAGAAUACCAUGUGCUUACCAUAUAUAUGCGGCAUACGCCUAUUUUUGGAGGUUUUCUCUUUUUCAGAGGAAC